CACAGCAGGUGGCAAGUCUCACUGCACAUCCCUCAAAGUGCAUCCUCACCUAACUGCUCACGUCGGUUUUCCACAGAGCUGACCAUUAAGAGAAGAGGCUUCCCCCAUGAAGCAGGAGCAUCCUCUGGUAAAGAACAUCACCUACAUCUGUGAACAAUUGCUAAAAAUAGUUCUAAGUUUCAGGUGUUCACCAUGGUGAUUCAACAUUUAAAUGUAUUAUGAAAUGAUCACUUACAAGGUAAGUGCAGUGACUGUCUGUCACCAUACAAAGUUAUUGCAAUAUUUUGACUCUGUUUUCCUUACUCUGUAUAUCACAUCCCAUGACAUUUAUUUUAUAACUGAAAGCUUGUACCUCCUUCACCCAU